rnacentral:rRNA from 1 species
CCUACGGGGGGCAGCAGUGAGGAAUAUUGGUCAAUGGACGAGAGUCUGAACCAGCCAAGUAGCGUGAAGGAUGACUGCCCUAUGGGUUGUAAACUUCUUUUAUAUGGGAAUAAAAUGUUCCACGUGUGGGAUUUUGUAUGUACCAUAUGAAUAAGGAUCGGCUAACUCCGGGCCAGCAGCCGCGGUAAUACGGAGGAUCCGAGCGUUAUCCGGAUUUAUUGGGUUUAAAGGGAGCGUAGGUGGAUUGUUAAGUCAGUUGUGAAAGUUUGCGGCUCAACCGUAAAAUUGCAGUUGAAACUGGCAGUCUUGAGUACAGUAGAGGUGGGCGGAAUUCGUGGUGUAGCGGUGAAAUGCUUAGAUAUCACGAAGAACUCCGAUUGCGAAGGCAGUUCACUGGACUGCAACUGACACUGAGGCUCGAAAGUGUGGGUAUCAAACAGGAUUAGAUACCCCAGUAGUC